rnacentral:tRNA from 1 species
ACUCAAAUAGUUUAAUUAAAAAUUUUAACUUGUGGCGUUAGGGAUACAUUUUUGUGUUUUGGGUA